GGCCUAGUGGACCCGAUCAUGAUAUUUCACUCAUGAUCUGGCCUGGACUGCAAAUCCUGGAAUGACGGUUCGACCCCGUCCUUGGCCU
rnacentral:tRNA from 1 species